AUUGAACGCUGGCGGCAGGCUUAACACAUGCAAGUCGAACGAUGAAACUCUAGCUUGCUAGAGAUGAUUAGUGGCGGACGGGUGAGUAACAUUUAGGAAUCUGCCUAGUAGUGGGGGAUAGCUCGGGGAAACUCGAAUUAAUACCGCAUACGACCUACGGGUGAAAGGGGGCGCAAGCUCUUGCUAUUAGAUGAGCCUAAAUCAGAUUAGCUAGUUGGUGGGGUAAAGGCCCACCAAGGCGACGAUCUGUAACUGGUCUGAGAGGAUGAUCAGUCACACCGGAACUGAGACACGGUCCGGACUCCUACGGGAGGCAGCAGUGGGGAAUAUUGGACAAUGGGGGCAACCCUGAUCCAGCCAUGCCGCGUGUGUGAAGAAGGCCUUUUGGUUGUAAAGCACUUUAAGCAGGGAGGAGAGGCUAAUGGUUAAUACCCAGUAGAUUAGACGUUACCUGCAGAAUAAGCACCGGCUAACUCUGUG
rnacentral:rRNA from 1 species